GCUGCAAGGCCGUAGCCACGACGUUCCCAGGAAAGCGAUCGUGUACGGAACACGUACUGGGAAGGAGGACCUGACGGGACGGUGACUCACGGCGGAAUAAAAGAACGGACGCAGGCAGUGCGCCUGGAAAGCAUUGACAGGCACUAGGGAGACCACAGGCAAGAUGCCGUGGCUCACAGAAAUCCUUCCGGAAAAUCCGAAACCACCAACCAGAAACAAAGAUAAGCAAACACUGGUUGGUACAGUUGGGAGAAAUAUCAGGUUAAAGGCCAAUUACUAUCCCAUAACAGUCAAAUCAUGGGACAAAAUUUUGAUCCAUUAUGAUGUCGUCAUUGAAGAACCGAAUCGUGGGGAAUUGGAUAUUCCAAAGAAAAAGAAGUUGUGAGUAUAUGCUAAUUUGGUUUCUAGACUUUUG